rnacentral:lncRNA from 1 species
CAGUCUUACUUCAAGAGCUGCAUCCUCAAUAAUUGGCACCUCACUGGACAGGACCCCAUAGCAUCAUACUUACUACCCACGGUGGCCAAGCUUUUGGGCCACUUCCCCUGGUACCAUGUCUCCCGCUUUAAAAAAGCACCUGUUCCAAAUGUCCAGUUCAGGACUUCCACCAUGCUGGGGACCACCAAACUCAAGAUUUCUCGCCAACCCUCUUCUUCUUUUACUAAUCAUUAAUCUCUCUCAAGUUUCUAUUCCAACCCACAGAUGGCACUUCUACAUCCAAGCGACAUGGCAACAGGAUGGCACCACCCAC